GUGCCAGCAGCCGCGGUAAUACGGGGGGGACAAGCGUUGUUCGGAUUCACUGGGCGUAAAGGGCGCGUAGGUGGGCUGCCAAGUCAGAUGUGAAACCUACCGGCUUAACCGGUAGCCUGCAUCUGAUACUGGCGGUCUUGAGUACGGAAGAGGAGAGCGGAAUUCCAGGUGUAGCGGUGAAAUGCGUAGAUAUCUGGAAGAACACCGGUAGCGAAGGCGGCUCUCUGGUCCGAUACUGACACUCAAGCGCGAAGGCUAGGGGAGCAAACAGGAUUAGAAACCCCAGUAGUCC
rnacentral:rRNA from 1 species